AUGCAAGUCGAACGGCAGCGCGGACUUCGGUCUGGCGGCGAGUGGCGAACGGGUGAGUAAUGUAUCGGAACGUGCCCAGUAGCGGGGGAUAACUACUCGAAAGAGUAGCUAAUACCGCAUACGCCCUACGGGGGAAAGGGGGGGAUCGCAAGCCCUCUCACUAUUGGAGCGGCCGAUAUCGGAUUAGCUAGUUGGUGAGGUAAAGGCUCACCAAGGCGACGAUCCGUAGCUGGUUUGAGAGGACGACCAGCCACACUGGGACUGAGACACGGCCCAGACUCCUACGGGAGGCAGCAGUGGGGAAUUUUGGACAAUGGGGGAAACCCUGAUCCAGCCAUACCGCGUGUGCGAUGAAGGCCUUCGGGUUGUAAAGCACUUUUGGCAGGAAAGAAAUCGCAUCAAUUAAUACUUGGUGUGGAUGACGGUACCUGCAGAAUAAGCACCGGCUAACUACGUGCCAGCAGCCGCGGUAAUACGUAGGGUGCAAGCGUUAAUCGGAAUUACUGGGCGUAAAGCGUGCGCAGGCGGUUCGGAAAGAGAGGUGUGAAAUCCCAGGGCUCAACCUUGGAACUGCACUUUUAACUACCGAGCUAGAGUAUGUCAGAGGGGGGUGGAAUUCCGCGUGUAGCAGUGAAAUGCGUAGAUAUGCGGAGGAACACCGAUGGCGAAGGCAGCCCCCUGGGAUAAUACUGACGCUCAUGCACGAAAGCG
rnacentral:rRNA from 1 species